AUUGAACGCUGGCGGCAGGCCUAACACAUGCAAGUCGAACGAGUGGCGGACGGGUGAGUAAUGUCUGGGAACCUGCCUGAUGGAGGGGGAUGACUACUGGAAACGGUAGCUAAUACCGCAUACCAUCAGAUGUGCCCAGCUGGGAUUAGCUAGUUGGUGGGGUAACGGAGCCCCAAGGCGACGAUCCCUCGCUGGUCUGAGCGGAUGACCAGCCACACUGGAACUGAGACACGGCCCAGACUCCGACGGGAGGCAGCGGUGGGGAGUAUGGCACAAUUGGCGCAAGCCUGAUGCAGCCAUGCCACGUGUAUGAAGAGGGCCUUCGGGUUGUAAAGUACUUUCAGCGGGGAGGCGUUACCCGAAGAAGAAGCACCGGCUAACUCCGUGCCAGCCGCCGCGGUAAUUC
rnacentral:rRNA from 1 species